CCCCUCUUUCCAGCUGAUGUUCUGAAAGACUUCCCUACCAGUUGGAAUGCGUUAUGCAAAUAACUUCUGUUUUCAUUUAUUUUGCUGACCUAAGGCAGGAUGAAGACCUAGCUGGACUGGAAAUCAGGUUUCUGACUCCUCAUCCCAUUUAAAUCCCAUCUCAUCACCCAGCACCUUAACUGCAGGCAUGGGGGACCACAGGUUCUGUACCUGAUUUGCAAGUCGUGCAAGUCUCAGCAAUCUCAUGGAGCCUCGAAACACUCUACUGGAAUGAAGAAUCGGAAGCGUGGCCCCAUGGCAUCCCAGCUUUACUUCUGAGACCAAAGCGCUGAAGUUCAGUGCGGCGAGGGUGCUGGGAAACGGGGCGCCAUCAUGGCCUCCUGGUCUCCAUGGACUGUGGCCCGCCAGGCUCCUCUGUCUAUGGGAUUUCUCAUGCAAG